CGCAGUAGGAUAGGCGAAGCGUGCGAUUGGAUUGCACGUCUAAGCAGUAAGGCUGAGUAUUAGGCAAAUCCGGUACUCGUUAAGGCUGAGCUGUGAUGGGGAGGAGACAUUGUGUCUUCGAGUCGUUGAUUUCACACUGCCGAGAAAAGCCUCUAGAUAGAAAAUAGGUGCCCGUACCGCAAACCGACACAGGUAGUCAAGAUGAGAAUUCUAAGGUGAGCGAGCGAACUCUCGUUAAGGAACUCGGCAAAAUGACCCCGUAACUUCGGGAGAAGGGGUGCUCUUUAGGGUUAACGCCCAGAAGAGCCGCAGUGAAUAGGCCCAAGCGACUGUUUAUCAAAAACACAGGUCUCUGCUAAACCGUAAGGUGAUGUAUAGGGGCUGACGCCUGCCCGGUGCUGGAAGGUUAAGAGGAGUGGUUAGCUUCUGCGAAGCUACGAAUCGAAGCCCCAGUAAACGGCGGCCGUAACUAUAACGGUCCUAAGGUAGCGAAAUUCCUUGUCGGGUAAGUUCCGACCCGCACGAAAGGCGUAACGAUUUGGGCACUGUCUCAACGAGAGACUCGGUGAAAUCAUAGUACCUGUGAAGAUGCAGGUUACCCGCGACAGGACGGAAAGACCCCGUGGAGCUUUACUGUAGCCUGAUAUUGAAAUUCGGCACAGCUUGUACAGGAUAGGUAGGAGCCUUUGAAACGUGAGCGCUAGCUUACGUGGAGGCGCUGGUGGGAUACUACCCUAGCUGUGUUGGCUUUCUAACCCGCACCACUUAUCGUGGUGGGAGACAGUGUCAGGCGGGCAGUUUGACUGGGGCGGUCGCCUCCUAAAAGGUAACGGAGGCGCUCAAAGGUUCCCUCAGAAUGGUUGGAAAUCAUUCAUAGAGUGUAAAGGCAUAAGGGAGCUUGACUGC
rnacentral:rRNA from 1 species